AGUGAACGCUGGCGGUAGGCCUAACACAUGCAAGUCGAACGGCAGCACAGUAAGAGCUUGCUCUUACGGGUGGCGAGUGGCGGACGGGUGAGGAAUACAUCGGAAUCUACUUUUUCGUGGGGGAUAACGUAGGGAAACUUACGCUAAUACCGCAUACGACCUACGGGUGAAAGCAGGGGAUCUUCGGACCUUGCGCGAUUGAAUGAGCCGAUGUCGGAUUAGCUAGUUGGCGGGGUAAAGGCCCACCAAGGCGACGAUCCGUAGCUGGUCUGAGAGGAUGAUCAGCGACACUGGAACUGAGACACGAUCCAGACUCCUACGGGAGGCAGCAGUGGGGAAUAUUGGACAAUGGGCGCAAGCCUGAUCCAGCCAUACCGCGUGGGUGAAGAAGGCCUUCGGGUUGUAAAGCCCUUUUGUUGGGAAAGAAAAGCAGCAGGUUAAUACCCCGCUGUUCUGACGGUACCCAAAGAAUAAGCACCGGCUAACUUCGUG
rnacentral:rRNA from 1 species